UUGUUUGCAGAAGCCUCAGCAAACGCAGCAUCCUUAUCAUCUUCCAUGUUUGUAGCAGCCUAGCUUUACAGGGCUUAAAAAACUUGAAAAAAGGCUAGAAAACGGGUCCCAAACUUGUUAAAAUCAAUCUUAAAGAAUAUGCUGAACUUCCAUAAAUACUUAUAUAAAACAAAUGAACAUAGAAGUUUAAAGCUUUAAGCGCCGCACAUUAAAUGAUUAAGAGCGCGAUUAGAUUGUUGUUAACGCAGCGCCAUCUUGGCCGGAAGUCCCGUGUCCGUUCUUGCAGCGCCGCAAAAAGUCGAACACAACAUCCGUCAGAUGCAGUGCCAUCAUUCUCCAUCAGAGGGCAUUCCCUCCUGGACAUUCUACCCAUUCAACACUACAUCUCCUAUAAACCUUUGCAUGGACUCGUUUACUCUGAUCCUUCAAACCUGUUGCUCAUUUACCUUAUUAGCUCUGCCAUCAUUAUACAGUUGCUCACUAUUCCAUGGAGUCUAUCUGGUUCUUGGUUAUGUAACCACCCAAUGAUACAAGGUUAUUUCUUGUUUAUGGAUGGAUGGAUAACAUGUGUUUUGACCUUUACCUAUUUAAUGGACUUUAUAGUCGGAUUACCUCAGGUUUUGUAGAUUAUACCUUCGAUAUUGCGUUUUGGAUCCGCCAUCGUGUCUGGCCUGCCUCACAGUAACAGACGGGGAACUCCACUGUGCUAAUGAUGUUGCGCACGUGCUCUAUCUGCAAUUUAAAAGGAGCCAUUUCGGACAAGGUCUCACAUUCACAUGUGCGGACCUCUGAUGGGAGAAAGAAAAACACUCCUGGAAAUCCUCCGCUACCAACUGGAGGCCAUCCUGCACCUCAGAGACUCCAAUGACCUGGAUCUCUUCAGAAACUGGUUUGGCAUCAAGAACCUAUAUUUAAUGGAACAACAUAAAUGUCUGAGGUGUGUGAUGGUCACAUCCGUUUCUAUUUGAAGAUCGGCUAAAGCCUCGUCCCGCCACAAGGACAUGGCAAUGCUCUUGCUACCACAUUUGAGGGUUACGUAUUCUCCAGAUGAAUACAUCUCUGGUUCGGUCCCAGUGAAAAGCUUUGAGGGUGGAACCAGGGCUUCAUCACCGAGCUUUUGGAACUCUUCAGAAAUUGUUGUGGAUGACCCCUUGAAUAAU